rnacentral:rRNA from 2 species
UACGAAGGGGGCAAGCGUUGUUCGGAAUGACUGGGCGUAAAGGGCGCGUAGGCGGUGCGUUGCGUCAGAUGUGAAAUCCCCGGGCUCAACCUGGGAAUGGCAUUUGAUACGGGCGUACUGGAAUCCGUGAGAGGUUGGUGGAAUUCCCAGUGUAGAGGUGAAAUUCGUAGAUAUUGGGAAGAACACCAGUGGCGAAGGCGGCCAACUGGCACGGUAUUGACGCUGAGGCGCGAAAGCGUGGGGAGCAAACAGG